rnacentral:lncRNA from 1 species
GAAAGGAGAAAAAGCCCACUGUGGGGAGAGCACUGAUAGCAUCUUCUCCCUCAAAGGAAGUUUGGUCACUUUCGGAUGCCUGGUGACUUCUCCAGGGCCCACUUUAAACAUGUCAAUUUUAUAGCUGUGCGACUAUUUACAUUUUUUAUAGGUAGGAGUUUACAACUGAGCAGAGAGUGAGGAGAAGUGGCAUCCAUGUGCAGCCCUGCAUCUGGUGUCCGUGAACUGGGCUGUCAUGCCUUGGCCUCCUCCUGUUCAUAUUGGCUAUAUAAAGGAUCUCAUGGCCUUCUGCAGAAGAGACUCACACACAAACACCAGUUCUUAAAUACUGUGAGAACUGACCAAAAAUGGCUGCCAUAUUGAGGUUUGGUCCUUUUAUUGCUUUUUAAAAAUAUCUUUCUGCCAUUAAACCCUUCUCCAUAGUGUUCCAACUGCUGCAGGAUAAUUUAAUGGUGGAAGCAAUUCUCAGGGGUUUUUGGUCUGUUCCAUCUCAAAGCUUUGUGUGUUGUCUUCCCUAAGGUUGAUGUGGCUAACGUGGCCAAACCUGGAAUUGGCACAUCAGGAUACAGCAUGUGGAGUCCACUUGAGUUUAUAGAAGGGCCGAGCCUGUGGUCUUGGUGCUAUAUGCCCCUGGCCCCGAUGUCCUUCCCUUUCCUGGAAGUCAGGUGUUUCCUGCCUUUGCUGUUCCUUCUGUGCAGGACACUUUGCCUUCAUCUUCAGUGGGAAAUAUAAAUGGAUUCUUGUCAAUCAAAUGUUGGGUCACUUGUCCCUUUCUCAGAAGACUUCCUUGAGUGCCAGUCUAAAGUAUUAGCCUUGCCAGUGUCUGUCAGCUAUAUUCACUUGUUCGCAUGUUUAUUGUGUGUUUUAGCGAUGAGAAUAUUUAAGAACUGAACUUGCAUCCUAUAUUGCUUUAUGCCAGUUUAGAUAUGAUACUUUUGAAGUUUUACUUGAAAAUUGGAUGUCUGUUCAAGUGUCUUCUCAAUGAGAGGACCCCUUCUUGAAGAUUUUGUUAGAAAUAUCAAGCAAUACAAGAAAUAUCAUUAGGUGCAAAAUACUCAUGUGUUUAUGAAUUUGUGACCAAAUUAUGCAAUGUUAUAUUUAAAAUUUUAUAAUUUUAUAUAAAUAUGCAUUUUUAUGAAUCCGUGACCAAAUUAAAUAUGCAAUUUUAUAU